rnacentral:rRNA from 1 species
UACGUAGGGGGCGAGCGUUGUCCGGAUUCAUUGGGCGUAAAGAGCUCGUAGGCGGCUUGGCAAGUCGGGUGUGAAACCUCCAGGCUCAACCUGGAGUCGCCACCCGAUACUGCCAUGGCUAGAGUCCGGUAGAGGCUCAUGGAAUUCCGGGUGUAGCGGUGGAAUGCGUAGAGAUCCGGAAGAACACCGGUGGCGAAGGCGGUGAGCUGGGCAGUUGCUGACACUGAGGCGCGACAGCGUGGGGAGCAAACAGG